UUUCUUCUUCGCUCGAGAAAGAAACAACAGCAGAACCUUGGUGAGGAAAAUCCUUGUCGAUAUCUCUCCCUUGCGGUUCUCCAGUGAUUCAAAAUCUCCCACGGUUUACUGUCAAUUUCAUCGGUUUUGUCAUGAUUGGAACAAACAUCUCAUCGAUCAGUUUGCUCAGUUUCGAUCUCAAUUCUCUCCAUUAUCUUCCCCACUCAAUAUCUCUCUUGGUUUGCUUCUUCUGUUUCCAGAAAUCUCUCAACCGAAAAUACAACAACAACAAAGGCAACACUAUGUUCUCACUCGCUCUUCUCUUCCACUAUACUUGGUCUCAAACAAUAAUUCACUUCUAAUCUCAACUUUCUUUCUUUUAAUCCAUACUUCUGAAUCAGUAAAAUGAUACGCCCUUAAGCUCUCGGUUCAUAUUCGGUUUUUCCUUUUUUUUUUUAUUUAAAUUUAUCGUUCUUUUAUCUUUUUUCAAACGUGACAGUAACUGCAGGUAUUGUCAAUUUCAUAGUUCGAGCAGCGAAAAAAGAAGAAGCAAAAUCUAGCUUCCAAAUCAUGUUUUCAAACAAGCAAUAAAAUAGAGCAGCAGGCCAACUAUCAAUCAUGAAGACAUAAGAGUAAUAGCAUAGGCAGAGAAACUUACCGACGGCAGGAGAUUUCCCGGUGUUUGUUGAAAUUAAAGCUGACAAAGAAACCAGAAAACCAGAGACCUUUGCAGAGGACAGCAGCAGAUUUUUGGACUAUUGGUUUGGCCGGAUACAAGGUUUUUUGGCAUGUUGUGGACAGGCACAAGGACAGCAGCAGCAGCAGCAGGGCUGAUUUGUGCAGUAUGUUUGGACAGCAACUAGUGGUGAAGUUUGAAGAUUGAGACAAAAGAAAAAGUUAGAGAUUGGUGAAUUAAGAUAAAGCUUAGGAUUAGAAUAAGUUGUGAUGUAAACCCUUGUAACUUUGAUGCAUUUCCUUGAUGUAAUGAUGAUGAUGGAUUGUAACUUGCACACUUGAAUGAAUUGAAAUCAAAGGCUUUAUUUGAA